rnacentral:tRNA from 1 species
GCAAGCGUGGCCGAGUGGUUAAGGCGCUACAUUUAGGAGGUUAUUUGAAAAUAACAUCUGACCACUGUAGUGGGCAACCGCGCGCGUUCGAUCGCGCCGCUUGCA